rnacentral:rRNA from 1 species
AAUGCGUAGAGAUCUGGAGGAAUACCGGUGGCGAAGGCGGCCCCCUGGACAAAGACUGACGCUCAGGUGCGAAAGCGUGGGGAGCAAACAGGAUUAGAUACCCUGGUAGUCCACGCCGUAAACGAUGUCUACUUGGAGGUUGUGCCCUUGAGGCGUGGCUUCCGGAGCUAACGCGUUAAGUAGACCGCCUGGGGAGUACGGCCGCAAGGUUAAAACUCAAAUGAAUUGACGGGGGCCCGCACAAGCGGUGGAGCAUGUGGUUUAAUUCGAUGCAACGCGAAGAACCUUACC